CGUAACAAGGUCUCCGUUGGUGAACCAGCGGAGGGAUCAUUAC
rnacentral:rRNA from 5 species